UUGAUCCUGGCUCAGAAUCAACGCUGGCGGCGUGCCUAACACAUGCAAGUCGAACGCAGUUUUUCCCGCAAGGGAAAAGCUGAGUGGCAAACGGGUGAGUAACACGUGGGUGACCUGCCUUCGAGUGGGGGAUAACGUUUCGAAAGGGAUGCUAAUACCGCAUAACAUCCUGUCUUUUAAGAGAUGGACAUCAAAGCCUUGGACCGUAAGGCCAGGCGCUUGAAGAGGGGCCCGCGCCUGAUUAGCUAGUUGGUGGGGUAAUGGCUCACCAAGGCAACGAUCAGUAUCCGGCCUGAGAGUGCGGACGGACACACUGGGACUGAGGCACGGCCCAGACUCCUACGGGAGGUAGCAGUGGGGAAUUGUUCGCAAUGGGCGCAAGCCUGACGACGCAACGCCUCGUGGAGGAUGAAGAUCUUCGGGUCGUAAACUCCUUUCGAUCGAGACGAUUGGCCUUUGGGUUAAUAGCCUGAAGGAAUGACGGUACCGAGAGAAGAAGUCCCGGCUAACUCCGUGCCAGCAGCCGCGGUAAUAAGGU
rnacentral:rRNA from 1 species